rnacentral:hammerhead_ribozyme from 1 species
AUUAGCCGAUGAGUCCCAAAUGGGACAAAACGCGCGUCCUAGAU